rnacentral:lncRNA from 1 species
CAUUCCCCUGUGAAUCUUCCACACACAGUCUCAGGCAUCCCCUGAAACCAGAGUGCCAAGGAAUUUCUGUCUGGCUUGCUGGAUUUUGCACCAUCUCUGAGUCUGGUCACCCCAGGCUCAACCAGAAAGCUGAAAGGCCUGGUGUUGCAGACAUGAGGACAAUGGGCCCGCUGGACUGAAAGCAUUCCAGUCUCCCACGUUCGGUAGGAAGGGGUUGGGGGGGGAAGAAAGGUCAUUAAUGCAGACGGUUUAUGUUUUCCCAAGCCAGCAUUCCUUACAAACAGCUGUGUUUAUACAAAACUAGAGGAGAGGGAGAGAAAGACAAGAGAAAGGAGAGUGUCCUAGGGAUGACAUCAUUCUGUCUGCUCCAACUCCCACCACUGGGGGGCGGGGGCUGCAGCCGCUGGUGAACGUGCCUGGGGUUAGUAGAUGCAGAGUUUACACACUGCAAGCUCCUACUGGGAAGCUGUCUCUGCACCGUGGAAUCCUCACUAUGCAAUCCUCUCCACUGGCUCCCACCACUGUAUCAUCGCCUCUCCACCCUCUCCAAUGUGUACCCACCACGUCACCAUUACCGCUGUCUCCUCAACACAGCAUCCUCACGAUGGCAUCUUUGUCUCUCGGAACAAUGCAUAAUGUAUAAUAAAUGCUCAAUGAAUGCUGUUGAGCAUUGAUUCAUGAAGCAGCUGAACCAAAAAUGUGAGACAUUAAAUCUUACAACAGAAUUAACAACCCUCAAGUUUUGACUGGUUUCUCAAUUGAAGACUGAGAAAAUGAAAAUGGACUGAAAAACAUCCAAGUUACAAGGGCCAUGAAGUCCUGGAACAUGUUGAAACAGUAGAAAAAGCACUGGACUAAAAGCAGGAAGUCUGAGUUCAAACACCAGCUGUUUUGUUUGUUUUGUUUUGUUUAUCAAUUCACGACCUUGGGUAAGCAUCUUAUUCCCUCUGGGCCUCGAUUUCCUAUAAAAUAAGGAAAUUAUACCUGAUUAG